rnacentral:rRNA from 1 species
AGCGUACACGGUGGAUGCCCUGGCAGUCAGAGGCGAUGAAGGACGUGCUAAUCUGCGAAAAGCGCCGGUAAGGUGAUAUGAACCGUUAUAACCGGCGAUGUCCGAAUGGGGAAACCCGGUGCACUUCGGUGCAUCAUCGUUAGCUGAAUACAUAGGCUAACGAGGCGAACCGGGGGAACUGAAACAUCUAAGUACCCCGAGGAAAAGAAAUCAACCGAGAUUCCCCCAGUAGCGGCGAGCGAACGGGGAACAGCCCAGAGCCUGAAUCAGCUUGUGUGUCAGUGGAACGGUCUGGAAAGGCCGGCGAUACAGGGUGACAGCCCCGUACACGAAGGCACACAGGCUGUGAGCUCGAUGAGUAGGGCGGGACACGUGAUAUCCUGUCUGAAGAUGGGGGGACCAUCCUCCAAGGCUAAAUACUCCUGACUGACCGAUAGUGAACCAGUACCGUGAGGGAAAGGCGAAAAGAACCCCGGCGAGGGGAGUGAAACAGAACCUGAAACCGUGUACGUACAAGCAGUGGGAGCCUUCGUAAGAGGGUGACUGCGUACCUUUUGUAUAAUGGGUCAGCGACUUAUAUUCUGUAGCAAGGUUAACCGUAUAGGGGAGCCGAAGGGAAACCGAGUCUUAACCGGGCGUUAAGUUGCAGGGUAUAGACCCGAAACCCGGUGAUCUAGCCAUGGGCAGGUUGAAGGUUGGGUAACACUAACUGGAGGACCGAACCGACUAAUGUUGAAAAAUUAGCGGAUGACCUGUGGCUGGGGGUGAAAGGCCAAUCAAACCGGGAGAUAGCUGGUUCUCCCCGAAAGCUAUUUAGGUAGCGCCUCGUGAAUUCAUCUCCGGGGGUAGAGCACUGUUUCGGCUAGGGGGCCAUCCCGGCUUACCAACCCGAUGCAAACUGCGAAUACCGGAGAAUGUUAUCACGGGAGACACACGGCGGGUGCUAACGUCCGUCGUGAAGAGGGAAACAACCCAGACCGCCAGCUAAGGUCCCAAAGUCAUGGUUAAGUGGGAAACGAUGUGGGAAGGCCCAGACAGCCAGGAUGUUGGCUUAGAAGCAGCCAUCAUUUAAAGAAAGCGUAAUAGCUCACUGGUCGAGUCGGCCUGCGCGGAAGAUGUAACGGGGCUAAACCAUGCACCGAAGCUGCGGCAGCGACACGUAUGUGUUGUUGGGUAGGGGAGCGUUCUGUAAGCCUGUGAAGGUGUGCUGUGAGGCAUGCUGGAGGUAUCAGAAGUGCGAAUGCUGACAUAAGUAACGAUAAAGCGGGUGAAAAGCCCGCUCGCCGGAAGACCAAGGGUUCCUGUCCAACGUUAAUCGGGGCAGGGUGAGUCGACCCCUAAGGCGAGGCCGAAAGGCGUAGUCGAUGGGAAACAGGUUAAUAUUCCUGUACUUGGUGUUACUGCGAAGGGGGGACGGAGAAGGCUAUGUCGGCCGGGCGACGGUUGUCCCGGUUUAAGCGUGUAGGCUGACUUUCCAGGCAAAUCCGGAAGGUUAAGGCUGAGGCGUGAUGACGAGGCACCACGGUGCUGAAGUGACAAAUGCCCUGCUUCCAGGAAAAGCCUCUAAGCAUCAGGUAACAUCAAAUCGUACCCCAAACCGACACAGGUGGUCAGGUAGAGAAUACCAAGGCGCUUGAGAGAACUCGGGUGAAGGAACUAGGCAAAAUGGUGCCGUAACUUCGGGAGAAGGCACGCUGACAUGUAGGUGAAGCCCCUGCGGGUGGAGCUGAAGUCAGUCGAAGAUACCAGCUGGCUGCAACUGUUUAUUAAAAACACAGCACUGUGCAAACACGAAAGUGGACGUAUACGGUGUGACGCCUGCCCGGUGCCGGAAGGUUAAUUGAUGGGGUUAUCGCAAGAGAAGCUCCUGAUCGAAGCCCCGGUAAACGGCGGCCGUAACUAUAACGGUCCUAAGGUAGCGAAAUUCCUUGUCGGGUAAGUUCCGACCUGCACGAAUGGCGUAAUGAUGGCCAGGCUGUCUCCACCCGAGACUCAGUGAAAUUGAACUCGCUGUGAAGAUGCAGUGUACCCGCGGCAAGACGGAAAGACCCCGUGAACCUUUACUACAGCUUGACACUGAACAUUGAGCCUUGAUGUGUAGGAUAGGUGGGAGGCUUUGAAGCGUGGACGCCAGUCUGCGUGGAGCCGACCUUGAAAUACCACCCUUUAAUGUUUGAUGUUCUAACCUGGCGCCAUAAUCUGGCGUGGGGACAGUGUCUGGUGGGUAGUUUGACUGGGGCGGUCUCCUCCCAAAGUGUAACGGAGGAGCACGAAGGUCAGCUAAUCCUGGUCGGACAUCAGGAGGUUAGUGCAAUGGCAUAAGCUGGCUUGACUGCGAGAGUGACGGCUCGAGCAGGUGCGAAAGCAGGUCAUAGUGAUCCGGUGGUUCUGUAUGGAAGGGCCAUCGCUCAACGGAUAAAAGGUACUCCGGGGAUAACAGGCUGAUACCGCCCAAGAGUUCAUAUCGACGGCGGUGUUUGGCACCUCGAUGUCGGCUCAUCACAUCCUGGGGCUGAAGUAGGUCCCAAGGGUAUGGCUGUUCGCCAUUUAAAGUGGUACGCGAGCUGGGUUUAGAACGUCGUGAGACAGUUCGGUCCCUAUCUGCCGUGGGCGCUGGAGAAUUGAGGGGGGCUGCUCCCAGUACGAGAGGACCGGAGUGGACGCAUCACUGGUGUUCGGGUUGUCAUGCCAAUGGCACUGCCCGGUAGCUAAAUGCGGAAGAGAUAAGUGCUGAAAGCAUCUAAGCACGAAACUUGCCCCGAGAUGAGUUCU